AUUGAACGCUGGCGGCAGGCCUAACACAUGCAAGUCGAACGAGUGGCGGACGGGUGAGUAAUGUCUGGGAAACUGCCUGAUGGAGGGGGAUAACUACUGGAAACGGUCGCUAAUACCGCAUACCAUCGGAUGUGCCCAGAUGGGAUUAGCUAGUAGGGGGGGUAAAGGCUCACCGAGGCGACGAACCCUAGCUGGGCUGAGGGGAUGACCAGGCACACUGGAACUGAGACACGGUCCAGACUCCUAAGGGAGGCAGAAGUGGGGAAUAUGGCACAAUGGGCGCAAGCGUUAUGCAGCCAUGCCGCGUGUAUGAAGAUGGCCUUCGGGUUGUAAAGUACUUUCAGCGGAGAGGCGUUACCCGCAGAAGAAGCACCGGCUAACUCCGUGCCAGCAGCCGCGGUAAUUC
rnacentral:rRNA from 1 species